rnacentral:rRNA from 1 species
UACGUAGGUGGCAAGCGUUGUCCGGAAUUAUUGGGCGUAAAGCGCGCGCAGGCGGCCUCUUAAGUCUGAUGUGAAAGCCCCCGGCUCAACCGGGGAGGGCCAUUGGAAACUGGGAGGCUUGAGUAUAGGAGAGAAGAGUGGAAUUCCACGUGUAGCGGUGAAAUGCGUGAGAGAUGUGGAGGAACACCAGUGGCGAAGGCGACUCUUUGGCCUAUAACUGACGCUGAGGCGCGAAGCGUGGGAGCAAACAGG